rnacentral:lncRNA from 1 species
UAAAAGUGUAUGUAAUUUUUUCGGCGAAAGGCCGCUCGUCAGGGCAUGUUGGCCGCAGUCACAAGCGGUAUGCAUCUCGGACUUUUGGCUGGCUGCUUAGCCUGAGCUGAAUAAGAUAUGAAAAGAUAUGAAAGCAUACAACGUAGCUUGCAAGACUGGGCGCUUGAAACGGCUGCGGGAAGAGGAAGCGUUCAGGACAUCAGACAGCAAGAAGCACAACACCUGCUGGUAAACCACCGAGAAUACCUUCAGUUGGUGACGUGUAGCUUUAGCCGGCGGGGUCGACCAUCAUACGCUUUGCGCACCGCCAAUCCUGCUCUGGCCCAAA